CUGCUCACUGCAGCAGCACACAUACUAAAACUGGAACGAUCCAGAGAAGAUGAACAGAGCCCAGCUCAAGAUGAUACACGUUUAUGAAUUAUUUUCCAUUUUUUC
ensembl:snRNA U6 U6 spliceosomal RNA